rnacentral:tRNA from 1 species
GCACGCUUAGCUCAGCGGUAGAGCGUCCGCCUUACAAGCGGAGGGUCGGCGGUUCAAUCCCGUCAGCGUGUACCA